rnacentral:rRNA from 1 species
GACGAACGCUGGCGGCGUGCCUAAUACAUGCAAGUCGAACGAGAGCGACCGGUGCUUGCACUGGUCAAUCUAGUGGCGAACGGGUGAGUAACACGUGGGUAACCUGCCCAUCAGAGGGGGAUAACAUUCGGAAACGGAUGCUAAAACCGCAUAGGUCUUCGAACCGCAUGGUUUGAAGAGGAAAAGCGGCGCAAGCUUCUGCUGAUGGAUGGACCCGCGGUGCAUUAGCUAGUUGGUGAGGUAACGGCUCACCAAGGCCGUGAUGCAUAGCCGACCUGAGAGGGUGAUCGGCCACAUUGGGACUGAGACACGGCCCAAACUCCUACGGGAGGCAGCAGUAGGGAAUCUUCCGCAAUGGGCGCAAGUCUGACGGAGCAACGCCGCGUGAGUGAAGAAGGUUUUCGGAUCGUAAAACUCUGUUGUUAGGGAAGAAUAAGUGCUAGAGUAACUGUUAGCGCCUUGACGGUAUCUAACCAGAAAGCCACGGCUAACUACGUG